CCUACGGGUGGCAGCAGUGGGGAAUAUUGCACAAUGGGGGAAACCCUGAUGCAGCGACGCCGCGUGAGUGAAGAAGUAUUUCGGUAUGUUAAGCUCUAUCAGCAGGGAAGAAAAAAGACGGUACCUGACUAAGAAGCCCCGGCUAACUACGUGCCAGGAGCCGCGGUAAUACGUAGGGGGCAAGCGUUAUCCGGAUUUACUGGGUGUAAAGGGAGCGUAGACGGGGCGGCAAGUCUGAAGUGAAAGGCAGGGGCUUAACCCCUGAAUUGCUUUGGAAACUGCCAUGCUAGAGUGCAGGAGAGGUAAGUGGAAUACGUAGUGUAGCGGUGAAAUGCUUAGAUAUUAGUAAGAACACCGAUGGCGAAGGCAGCUUACCGGACAGUAACUGACGUUGAGGCUCGAGAGCGUGGGGAGCGAACAGGAUUAGAUACCCUGGUAGUC
rnacentral:rRNA from 1 species